GAUGAACGCUGGCGGCGUGCCUAAUACAUGCAAGUCGAGCGAACGGACGAGAAGCUUGCUUCUCUGAUGUUAGCGGCGGACGGGUGAGUAACACGUGGAUAACCUACCUAUAAGACUGGGAUAACUUCGGGAAACCGGAGCUAAUACCGGAUAAUAUUUUGAACCGCAUGGUUCAAAAGUGAAAGACGGUCUUGCUGUCACUUAUAGAUGGAUCCGCGCUGCAUUAGCUAGUUGGUAAGGUAACGGCUUACCAAGGCAACGAUGCAUAGCCGACCUGAGAGGGUGAUCGGCCACACUGGAACUGAGACACGGUCCAGACUCCUACGGGAGGCAGCAGUAGGGAAUCUUCCGCAAGGGGCGAAAGCCUGACGGAGCAACGCCGCGUGAGUGAUGAAGGUCUUCGGAGCGUAAAACUCUGUUAUUAGGGAAGAACAUAUGUGUAAGUAACUGUGCACAUCUUGACGGUACCUAAUCAAAGCCACGGCUAACUACGUG
rnacentral:rRNA from 1 species